rnacentral:sRNA from 1 species
GCUGGGUGUGGUGGUGCACACCUGUAAUUCCAGCAACUCAGAAGGCCGUGGCAGGUAGAUCGCAAGUUCAAAGUCAGCCGUAGCAACUUAUCGAGGCCCUAAGCAAUUUAGCGAGACCUGGUCUCAA